rnacentral:rRNA from 1 species
GGGGGGGGGUGCUCGGAUUACUGGGCGUAAGAGCGCGUAGGUGGUUCGAUCAGUCGGAGGUGAAAGCCCUCGGCUCAACCGAGGAUCCGCGUCCGAUACUGUCGAACUUGAGUGCAGGAGAGGAGAGCGGAAUUCCCAGUGUAGCGGUGAAAUGCGUAGAUAUUGGGAGGAACACCGGUGGCGAAGGCGGCUCUCUGGACUGCCACUGACACUGAGGCGCUAAAGCUAGGGGAGCAAACGGGAUUAGAUACCCCGGUAGUCCUAGCCGUAAACGAUGGGCACUAGGUGUGGGAGGUAUCGACCCCUUCCGUGCCGCAGCUAACGCAUUAAGUGCCCCGCCUGGGGAGUACGGCCGCAAGGUUGAAACUCAAAGGAAUUGACGGGGGCCCGCACAAGCGGUGGAGCAUGUGGUUUAAUUCGACGCAACGCGAAGAACCUUACCAGGGCUUGACAUCCCGCGAAUCCCUCCGAAAGGUGGGAGUGCCCGCAAGGGAGCGCGGAGACAGGUGGUGCAUGGCUGUCGUCAGCUCGUGUCGUGAGAUGUUGGGUUAAGUCCCGCAACGAGCGCAACCCUCACCCCUUGUUGCCAACAGGUCAGGCUGGGCACUCUAGGGGAACUGCCCCGGUCAACGGGGAGGAAGGUGGGGAUGACGUCAAGUCAUCAUGCCCCUUACGUCCUGGGCUACACACGUGCUACAAUGGCCGGUACAAAGGGAUGCAAGACCGCAAGGUGGAGCUAAACCCAAAAAGCCGGUCUAAGUUCAGAUUGGAGUCUGCAACUCGACUCCAUGAAGGAGGAAUCGCUAGUAAUCGCGCAUCAGCACGGCGCGGUGAAUACGUUCCCGGGCCUUGUACACACCGCCCGUCACACCACGAAAGCCAGUUGUACUCGAAGUCGCUGAGCUAACCCGCAAGGGAGGUAGGUGCCGAAGGUAUGACUGGUGAUUGGGGUGAAGUCGUAACAAGGUAACC